CUCAGAACCAGAACAACUAAACUUAAUAAACAUUUAUAGAACUCUCCACUUCAAAUACACAAAAUAUACACUCUUAUCAGUACCACAUCACACCUGCUCUAAAAGUGAAGUAAAUCAUUCCUUAAUAAUUAUAUAGCAUUUCACAGGUUUAAAUGAAAUAUUGGUUGGCUGCUUGUUUGUUAUUUUCUUCCCUCAUUUCUUCCUGUCUCUAUUAUUAAGCACAAUUAUUGGCAUAAAAGAGGUUUUCA